AUGUUGAGAUUAGCCAUGCAUGUCUCAGUAUAAGCUUCUAUACGGCGAAACUGCGAAUGGCUCAUUAAAACAGUUAUAGUUUAUUUGGUGGUCAGCAAUUACAUGGAUAACCGUGGUAAUUCUAGAGCUAAUACAUGCGCCCAAACCCGACUUCGUGGAAGGGUUGUGUUUAUUAGAUACAGAACCAACCCAGGCUCCGCCUGGCCUUGAGGUGAUUCAUAAUAACCGAACGAAUCGCAUGGCUAUGCCGGCGAUAGACCAUUCAAGUUUCUGACCUAUCAGCUAUCGUCGGUAGGGUAUUGGCCUACCGUGGCAAUGACGGGUAACGGAGAAUUAGGGUUCGAUUCCGGAGAGGGAGCCUGAGAAACGGCUACCACAUCUAAGGAAGGCAGCAGGCGCGCAAAUUACCCAAUCCUGACGCAGGGAGGUAGUGACAAGAAAUAACAAUACAGGGCAUACAUGUCUUGUAAUUGGAAUGAGUAAACUUUAAAUCACUUUAC
rnacentral:rRNA from 1 species